GACGAACGCUGGCGGCGUGCCUAAUACAUGCAAGUUGAGCGCUGAAGGUUGGUACUUGUACCAACUGGAUGAGCAGCGAACGGGUGAGUAACGCGUGGGGAAUCUGCCUUUGAGCGGGGGACAACAUUUGGAAACGAAUGCUAAUACCGCAUAAAAACUUUAAACACAAGUUUUAAGUUUGAAAGAUGCAAUUGCAUCACUCAAAGAUGAUCCCGCGUUGUAUUAGCUAGUUGGUGAGGUAAAGGCUCACCAAGGCGAUGAUACGUAGCCGACCUGAGAGGGUGAUCGGCCAGAUUGGGACUGAGACACGGCCCAAACUCCUACGGGAGGCAGCAGUAGGGAAUCUUCGGCAAUGGACGAAAGUCUGACCGAGCAACGCCGCGUGAGUGAAGAAGGUUUUCGGAUCGUAAAACUCUGUUGGUAGAGAAGAACGUUGGUGAGAGUGGAAAGCUCAUCAAGUGACGGUAACUACCCAGAAAGGGACGGCUAACUACGUG
rnacentral:rRNA from 1 species